rnacentral:ncRNA from 1 species
GAAAGAAGAAUAAAGACAACGGCUCCUCCGGAGUCUCCCCCCUGAAGCCGGGCCCUCAUUGCUGUCCCCACCACACUCUCCCCCUGACAACUUCCCCCCCAUAUAUAUUGUUAAAAUCGGUACCGGCCGUCACCGGGCUGCUAUGCAGUAUCUAUGUUUCUAUAUAUAACUGAUGUUAUUAUAUUGUGAUAAUUUAAUAAAGCUCCAUUCGUGCGCGUCACUAUUAGAACGACGAAAGCCGGCGCUCUUCGGAGUGUCCUGCAAAUACCGAAUCUAGCCAAAUGCCUCGUCAUCUAAUUAGUGACGCGUAUGAAUGGAUCAACAAGAUUCCUUCUGUCCCUAUCUACUAUCUAGCGAAACCACAGCCAAGGGAACGGGCUUGGCAAAAUCAGCGGGGAAAGAAGACCCUGUUGAGCUUGACUCUAGUCUGACUCUGUGAA